GAUGAACGCUGGCGGCGUGCCUAAUACAUGCAAGUCGAGCGAACAGACGAGGAGCUUGCUCCUCUGACGUUAGCGGCGGACGGGUGAGUAACACGUGGAUAACCUACCUAUAAGACUGGGAUAACUUCGGGAAACCGGAGCUAAUACCGGAUAAUAUAUUGAACCGCAUGGUUCAAUAGUGAAAGACGGUUUUGCUGUCACUUAUAGAUGGAUCCGCGCCGCAUUAGCUAGUUGGUAAGGUAACGGCUUACAAAGGCAACGAUGCGUAGCCGACCUGAGAGGGUGAUCGGCCACACUGGAACUGAGACACGGUCCAGACUCCUACGGGAGGCGGCAGUAGGGAAUCUUCCGCAAUGGGCGAAAGCCUGACGGAGCAACGCCGCGUGAGUGAUGAAGGUCUUCGGAUCGUAAAACUCUGUUAUUAGGGAAGAACAAAUGUGUAAGUAACUAUGCACGUCUUGACGGUACCUAAUCAGAAAGCCACGGCUAACUACGUG
rnacentral:rRNA from 1 species